rnacentral:misc_RNA from 1 species
GAUGAAGAACGCAGCGAAAUGCGAUACUUGGUGUGAAUUGCAGAAUCCCGUGAACCAUCGAGUCUUUGAACGCAAGUUGCGCCCGAAGCCAUUAGGCCGAGGGCACGCCUGCCUGGGCGUCACACGUCGUUGCCCCCCCAUCUACUCCUUCGGGAUUGCGGGGGGCGGAUGAUGGCCUCCCGUGCGCCUCGUCGCGCGGUUGGCAUAAAUGCCAAGUCCUCGGCGACGCACGCCACGACAAUCGGUGGUUGCGAAACCUCGGUUGCCCGUCGUGUGCGGUCGUCGCGCAUCGAGGGCUCGAAAAAAUUGUCGGGCUCCGGCUCGGCUUUCAACGCGACCCCACGUCAGGCGGGGUUACCCGCUGAAUUUAAGCAUAUCAAUAAGCGGAGGA